UUCAAAAUUCAGAAAAAAGUACACUUUGGAAAACUUUUAUCACUAACUAAUGAAUACAAGUAUUUCACACAUUGGUCUGCUCUCAGCUCUGAGUAAGGCACUAUUUUUGUAGAAAAUAUGAAUGAUUGAAAAGAACGCAGCAUUGGUUCCAUUCAAAAUUCAAAAGAUUUAGCGACAUGCUAAUGGGAAUGUUAUAUUGAAGUCAAUGCAACACAAUUUUUCAGUAGGAUAUGGACGGGGCACAUACACACACACACACAGAACACCGACUAAAUGUCAACAUUAAUACUAAGAGCUGGUUUAUUUGUGUUGAUCAACGGUACCUGAUCCUUAACGCUAGAGGCUUCGCGGCUAAGGAUUUGAGGAUAGCGAUUUGUUAAAAAUGUAUGAACUAAUAUAAUAACUAAUAACUAAUAUAAAUAUUGUCGCUAUUAUAAGGCACAUAAUUGUACUAAUACUCAAUAAAAUCAAGUUGCUGGCUUAACAAA